GCGCGAAACCUCCACAAUGUGGGAAACCACGAUGGGGGAACUCCAAGUGCCUAUACUCAGUAUAGGCUGUUCUCGAGCCUAAAAAGCUCGAGAAGUAAGGGCCGGGUAAGACGGGUGCCAGCCGCCGCGGUAAUACCCGCGGCCCGAGUGGUGCUCAUUAUUAUUGAGCCUAAAGCGUCCGUAGCUGGCCGGACAAAUCUCCGGGUAAAUCGGGCGGCUCAACCGUCCGAAUUCCGGAGACACUGUUCGGCUUGAGAUCGGGAGAGGGAGAAGGUACUCCUGGGGUAGGGGUAAAAUCCUGUAAUCCGAGGGGGACCACCGGUGGCGAAGGCGUUCUCCUAGAACGAAUCUGACAGUGAGGGACGAAGCCCUAGGGCGCAAACGGGAUUAGAUACCCCCGUAGUCC
rnacentral:rRNA from 1 species